UACGAAGGGGGCUAGCGUUGCUCGGAAUUACUGGGCGUAAAGAGCGUGUAGGCGGUUUAGCAAGUCCACCGUGAAAUCCCCCGGCUCAAUCGGGGAAGUGCAGCGGAUACUGCUAGACUAGAGUGCAGGAGAGGAGAGUGGAAUUCCUGGUGUAGAGGUGAAAUUCGUAGAUAUCAGGAGGAACAACAGCGGCGAAGGCGGCUCUCUGGACUGUAACUGACGCUUAGGCGCGAAAGCGUGGGGAGCGAACAGG
rnacentral:rRNA from 1 species